AUAUAAGAAGAAUCAAGUCAAAUUUUUUAAUCACUUGAAAACACACUUUAAGGAUGAAAUCAGUACAAGAUUAUAUUUAAAUAGGGGGAGUUUAUUUAAAAAGAAUUGAUUUUGAUCCUUGACAUGCUUGUUCUUAAUAUUUUAAUGCAUAAUAUAUCUUGCAUGUCACAUGAUGUUUUGAAUUAUAUGUUUUCAAUAUUCAAAUAACAAAGAUCUUUCCUAAAUAUAACUUGUAAUGCUUCAUGCCUAUAAAAUUUGAUUGAAACAUAUUAUCACCAACAACAACAUCAUUUUGUUUUAAUGAAUAUAUUUUGAAAAAUAAAAGAAAAGAAUAAUUUGAAUUUGCAAGUUAGGCAAAAUGAAUUGAUUCCGAUUUAUCUUUUAUCUUGCCUAACAUUAGUACAUAAUGUCCUCCAAUUUGUACCAAAAUUCAAUAUGAAUUACAAAGAUUCUGGAUGUGCUCUAAUGUUCUUGAAAUAUGUGUUUUCAAUCUUAAUAAUUUAAGAUAAGCUACAAUAUAGAAUAUGCAUAUCUCAAAUUAUAAUCC
rnacentral:lncRNA from 1 species